CCUACGGGGGGCAGCAGUGGGGAAUAUUGGACAAUGGGGGCAACCCUGAUCCAGCCAUGCCGCGUGUGUGAAGAAGGCCCUCGGGUUGUAAAGCACUUUCAGUGAGGAAGAACGCCUGGUGGUUAAUACCCAUCAGGAAAGACAUCACUCACAGAAGAAGCACCGGCUAACUCCGUGCCAGCAGCCGCGGUAAUACGGAGGGUGCGAGCGUUAAUCGGAAUUACUGGGCGUAAAGCGCGCGUAGGUGGCUUGAUAAGCCGGUUGUGAAAGCCCCGGGCUCAACCUGGGAACGGCAUCCGGAACUGUCAAGCUAGAGUGCAGGAGAGGAAGGUAGAAUUCCCGGUGUAGCGGUGAAAUGCGUAGAGAUCGGGAGGAAUACCGGUGGCGAAGGCGGCCUACUGGACUGACACUGACACUGAGGUGCGAAAGCGUGGGUAGCAAACAGGAUUAGAUACCCGAGUAGUC
rnacentral:rRNA from 1 species